UACGUAGGGUGCAAGCGUUAAUCGGAAUUACUAGGCGUAAAGCGUGCGCAGGCGGUUGUGCAAGACAGAUGUGAAAUCCCCGGGCUCAACCUGGGAACUGCGUUUGUGACUGUAUGACUAGAGUACGGUAGAGAGGGGUGGAAUUCCUGGUGUAGCAGUGAAAUGCGUAGAUAUCAGGAGGAACAUCGAUGGCGAAGGCAGCCCCUUGGACCUGUACUGACGCUCAUGCACGAAAGCGUGGGGAGCAAACAGG
rnacentral:rRNA from 1 species